UUAAGCGACUAAGCGUACACGGUGGAUGCCCUGGCAGUCAGAGGCGAUGAAGGACGUGCUAAUCUGCGAUAAGCGUCGGUAAGGUGAUAUGAACCGUUAUAACCGGCGAUUUCCGAAUGGGGAAACCCAGUGUGUUUCGACACACUAUCAUUAACUGAAUCCAUAGGUUAAUGAGGCGAACCGGGGGAACUGAAACAUCUAAGUACCCCGAGGAAAAGAAAUCAACCGAGAUUCCCCCAGUAGCGGCGAGCGAACGGGGAGGAGCCCAGAGCCUGAAUCAGUGUGUGUGUUAGUGGAAGCGUCUGGAAAGGCGCGCGAUACAGGGUGACAGCCCCGUACACAAAAAUGCACAUAUUGUGAGCUCGAUGAGUAGGGCGGGACACGUGGUAUCCUGUCUGAAUAUGGGGGGACCAUCCUCCAAGGCUAAAUACUCCUGACUGACCGAUAGUGAACCAGUACCGUGAGGGAAAGGCGAAAAGAACCCCGGCGAGGGGAGUGAAAAAGAACCUGAAACCGUGUACGUACAAGCAGUGGGAGCACGCUUAGGCGUGUGACUGCGUACCUUUUGUAUAAUGGGUCAGCGACUUAUAUUCUGUAGCAAGGUUAACCGAAUAGGGGAGCCGAAGGGAAACCGAGUCUUAACUGGGCGUUAAGUUGCAGGGUAUAGACCCGAAACCCGGUGAUCUAGCCAUGGGCAGGUUGAAGGUUGGGUAACACUAACUGGAGGACCGAACCGACUAAUGUUGAAAAAUUAGCGGAUGACUUGUGGCUGGGGGUGAAAGGCCAAUCAAACCGGGAGAUAGCUGGUUCUCCCCGAAAGCUAUUUAGGUAGCGCCUCGUGAAUUCAUCUCCGGGGGUAGAGCACUGUUUCGGCAAGGGGGUCAUCCCGACUUACCAACCCGAUGCAAACUGCGAAUACCGGAGAAUGUUAUCACGGGAGACACACGGCGGGUGCUAACGUCCGUCGUGAAGAGGGAAACAACCCAGACCGCCAGCUAAGGUCCCAAAGUCAUGGUUAAGUGGGAAACGAUGUGGGAAGGCCCAGACAGCCAGGAUGUUGGCUUAGAAGCAGCCAUCAUUUAAAGAAAGCGUAAUAGCUCACUGGUCGAGUCGGCCUGCGCGGAAGAUGUAACGGGGCUAAACCAUGCACCGAAGCUGCGGCAGCGACGCUUAUGCGUUGUUGGGUAGGGGAGCGUUCUGUAAGCCUGUGAAGGUGUGCUGUGAGGCAUGCUGGAGGUAUCAGAAGUGCGAAUGCUGACAUAAGUAACGAUAAAGCGGGUGAAAAGCCCGCUCGCCGGAAGACCAAGGGUUCCUGUCCAACGUUAAUCGGGGCAGGGUGAGUCGACCCCUAAGGCGAGGCCGAAAGGCGUAGUCGAUGGGAAACAGGUUAAUAUUCCUGUACUUGGUGUUACUGCGAAGGGGGGACGGAGAAGGCUAUGUUGGCCGGGCGACGGUUGUCCCGGUUUAAGCGUGUAGGCUGGUUUUCCAGGCAAAUCCGGAAAAUCAAGGCUGAGGCGUGAUGACGAGGCACUACGGUGCUGAAGCAACAAAUGCCCUGCUUCCAGGAAAAGCCUCUAAGCAUCAGGUAACAUCAAAUCGUACCCCAAACCGACACAGGUGGUCAGGUAGAGAAUACCAAGGCGCUUGAGAGAACUCGGGUGAAGGAACUAGGCAAAAUGGUGCCGUAACUUCGGGAGAAGGCACGCUGAUAUGUAGGUGAAGCGACUUGCUCGUGGAGCUGAAAUCAGUCGAAGAUACCAGCUGGCUGCAACUGUUUAUUAAAAACACAGCACUGUGCAAACACGAAAGUGGACGUAUACGGUGUGACGCCUGCCCGGUGCCGGAAGGUUAAUUGAUGGGGUCAGCGCAAGCGAAGCUCUUGAUCGAAGCCCCGGUAAACGGCGGCCGUAACUAUAACGGUCCUAAGGUAGCGAAAUUCCUUGUCGGGUAAGUUCCGACCUGCACGAAUGGCGUAAUGAUGGCCAGGCUGUCUCCACCCGAGACUCAGUGAAAUUGAACUCGCUGUGAAGAUGCAGUGUACCCGCGGCAAGACGGAAAGACCCCGUGAACCUUUACUAUAGCUUGACACUGAACAUUGAGCCUUGAUGUGUAGGAUAGGUGGGAGGCUUUGAAGUGUGGACGCCAGUCUGCAUGGAGCCGACCUUGAAAUACCACCCUUUAAUGUUUGAUGUUCUAACGUUGACCCGUAAUCCGGGUUGCGGACAGUGUCUGGUGGGUAGUUUGACUGGGGCGGUCUCCUCCUAAAGAGUAACGGAGGAGCACGAAGGUUGGCUAAUCCUGGUCGGACAUCAGGAGGUUAGUGCAAUGGCAUAAGCCAGCUUGACUGCGAGCGUGACGGCGCGAGCAGGUGCGAAAGCAGGUCAUAGUGAUCCGGUGGUUCUGAAUGGAAGGGCCAUCGCUCAACGGAUAAAAGGUACUCCGGGGAUAACAGGCUGAUACCGCCCAAGAGUUCAUAUCGACGGCGGUGUUUGGCACCUCGAUGUCGGCUCAUCACAUCCUGGGGCUGAAGUAGGUCCCAAGGGUAUGGCUGUUCGCCAUUUAAAGUGGUACGCGAGCUGGGUUUAGAACGUCGUGAGACAGUUCGGUCCCUAUCUGCCGUGGGCGCUGGAGAACUGAGGGGGGCUGCUCCUAGUACGAGAGGACCGGAGUGGACGCAUCACUGGUGUUCGGGUUGUCAUGCCAAUGGCACUGCCCGGUAGCUAAAUGCGGAAGAGAUAAGUGCUGAAAGCAUCUAAGCACGAAACUUGCCCCGAGAUGAGUUCUCCCUGACUCCUUGAGAGUCCUGAAGGAACGUUGAAGACGACGACGUUGAUAGGCCGGGUGUGUAAGCGCAGCGAUGCGUUGAGCUAACCGGUACUAAUGAACCGUGAGGCUUAACCUU
rnacentral:rRNA from 1 species